GCCAGUGUGGUGUAAUGGUUUGACUGCUGGACCAUGACUCUCAAGACCAGAGUUCAAAUCCCUGCUCUGCCA